rnacentral:rRNA from 1 species
CCCGUGUGGCGAGGAGUGCGGUUCUUUGUAAAGUGCCUUCGAAGAGUCGAGUUGUUUGGGAAUGCAGCUCUAAGUGGGUGGUAAAUUCCAUCUAAAGCUAAAUAUUGGCGAGAGACCGAUAGCGAACAAGUACAGUGAUGGAAAGAUGAAAAGAACUUUGAAAAGAGAGUGAAAAAGUACGUGAAAUUGUUGAAAGGGAAGGGCAUUUGAUCAGACAUGGUGUUUUGUGCCCUCUGCUCCUUGUGGGUAGGGGAAUCUCGCAUUUCACUGGGCCAGCAUCAGUUUUGGUGGCAGGAUAAAUCCAUAGGAAUGUAGCUUGCCUCGGUAAGUAUUAUAGCCUGUGGGAAUACUGCCAGCUGGGACUGAGGACUGCGACGUAAGUCAAGGAUGCUGGCAUAAUGGUUAUAUGCCGCCCGUCUUGAAACACGGACCAAGGAGUCUAACGUCUAUGCGAGUGUUUGGGUGUAAAACCCAUACGCGUAAUGAAAGUGAACGUAGGUUGGGGCCUCGCAAGAGGUGCACAAUCGACCGAUCCUGAUGUCUUCGGAUGGAUUUGAGUAAGAG